GACACAAAAGAACAGGCUGUCCUCAUCUGACCACCACCCACAACAACCAAACUUUAAUCAAACACAAAAGAACACGCUGUCCUCACCUGACCACCAGCCACAACAACCGAACUUUAAUCAGACACAAAAGAACAGGCUGUCACCUGACCACCACCCACAACAACCGAAGGGCAGGGUGAGUCCAUUUAGAGUCUCGAGAAUUUUAGACGUGCAUUCACUUUAAAGAGUGCACCGGAAGUGUGAUUUGAAGAGAACAAAUGAUUUUCUAACUCCAAAGUGGUUAAAAUAUAAUCCGGGUAAGUAAGGAGAAACGGAAGUGCCUAAUGAAUCCAAUGUGUGAGAAAAGCUGGUGAAGACAAUUCACGGGGGAUUCGAUGCUCUGUGUAAAACAGAGAAGGAAGAAAGCCAUUUACUGGUGGUGGAGGCCCUUCCCAAAUACCAGCAAAGGCAGCCCAGGACAGGGACGCUGGCCAAUCUCUGCUAGAAUCACGUUGCUGCUAGAUAAUGCAAUGCACAAAUAAAGUAACAGAUCCAAUAAUGCAAA
rnacentral:lncRNA from 1 species